CGCUAUCACUCCUACGGGGAGGCAGCAGUAGGGAAUCUUCCACAAUGGGCGCAAGCCUGAUGGAGCAACACCGCGUGAGUGAAGAAGGGUUUCGGCUCGUAAAGCUCUGUUGUUAAAGAAGAACACGUAUGAGAGUAACUGUUCAUACGUUGACGGUAUUUAACCAGAAAGUCACGGCUAACUACGUGCCAGCAGCCGCGGUAAUACGUAGGUGGCAAGCGUUAUCCGGAUUUAUUGGGCGUAAAGAGAGUGCAGGCGGUUUCUAAGUCUGAUGUGAAAGCCUUCGGCUUAACCGGAGAAGUGCAUCGGAAACUGGAUAACUUGAGUGCAGAAGAGGGUAGUGGAACUCCAUGUGUAGCGGUGGAAUGCGUAGAUAUAUGGAAGAACACCAGUGGCGAAGGCGGCUACCUGGUCUACAACUGACGCUGAGACUCGAAAGCAUGGGUAGCGAACAGGAUUAGAUACCCUGGUAG
rnacentral:rRNA from 1 species